UACGAAGGGGGCUAGCGUUGCUCGGAAUCACUGGGCGUAAAGGGUGCGUAGGCGGGUUUUUAAGUCAGAGGUGAAAUCCUGGAGCUCAACUCCAGAACUGCCUUUGAUACUGAGAAUCUUGAGUUCGGGAGAGGUGAGUGGAACUGCGAGUGUAGAGGUGAAAUUCGUAGAUAUUCGGAGGAACACCAGUGGCGAAGGCGGCUCACUGGUCCAUUACUGACGCUGAGGUGCGAAAGCGUGGGGAGCAAACAGG
rnacentral:rRNA from 1 species